rnacentral:rRNA from 1 species
UACGUAGGUGGCAAGCGUUGUCCGGAUUUACUGGGCGUAAAGAGCGCGCAGGCGGUCGUUCAAGUCGCGUGUGAAAGCCCCCGGCUCAACUGGGGAGGGUCACGCGAUACUGAUCGACUCGAAGGCAGGAGAGGGAAGUGGAAUUCCCGGUGUAGUGGUGAAAUGCGUAGAUAUCGGGAGGAACACCAAUGGCGAAGGCAGCUCGCUGGGACGUGACUGACGCUGAGACGCGAAAGCGUGGGGAGCAAACAGG